UACGUAGGUGACCAGCGUUGUCCGGAUUUACUGGGCGUAAAGAGCGCGCAGGCGGUCGUUCAAGUCGAGUGUGAAAGCUCCCGGCUCAACUGGGGAGGGUCAUUCGAUACUGAUCGACUGGAAGGCAGGAGAGGGAAGCGGAAUUCCCGGUGUAGUGGUGAAAUGCGUAGAUAUCGGGAGGAACACCAGUGGCGAAGGCGGCUUCCUGGCCUGUUCUUGACGCUGAGGCGCGAAAGCUAGGGUAGCAAACGGG
rnacentral:rRNA from 1 species